rnacentral:lncRNA from 1 species
UUUUCAGAAGACUUCAUGGAUAAAGCUGGAACACAAUGCAAUUCUCAAAUGGCUAAAAACAUGUUUUCUAUAUUUCUAAGUAUAAUCCCAGAAUGUUGCAGGAAGUAAAGUGCCUAUUGCAGUUUGGAGAAGAGUCAGGUAUUGAACUGGAACUAAGUAUUUGAUGCCUUCAAUUCCACUAAUAUAAAACUUCCUUUAAGACAUUGGUUCCCAGUUGUUUUUGUUUUGACUUUUUUCACAUUUCAGUCUUUCUUUUUCUCCCAUAUAUUUGUAAAACAAUAUUUACCUGUUUAUGAGUGAUAUAAUCUGAUGUUUUCUAAUCUGCUUUUUAUUUAAAAUAUCUUGGUUAAGAUGUACUUAAUCAGUUUGGUGAUCCAUUGAUGGUUGCAAUCCAUAGCUGGCAUCAUUACUUCUUAGGUGGCAUCAUUACUUCUUAGGUUAAGAGGGGUCUCUUUUCUAGCCCUUGGACUGAGAAAAGGUCCUACAGGUAGUGAUUCAGUGAAACUUAUGGAAUAAUAAAGGACACAUCUGUUAGUAUUUCAAAAUACUACCAUGCUGCACCAUUUAAAAAUUUGGAAAGUUAAAAAGUUUUUGAAAGUGAGUUCCAUGAAGUUAUUAGGCUUAGUCACACUUGAUAUCUGGGUUUAUUAAGAGAGUUGAGACAUUUUUACUAAACCGAUGACAGUUUAUUUACAAACCAUGAUUUUUUGUAUGACAAUGUAAAAAAUAUUUUCUGAUUAAGCAAGAACAAUUAGUAAAUAAUACAAAAUAGAUAAUAUCAAGUGGCAAAUAAUAUGAUAAGUAAUAGCUGUAUUAGUCAGCUUUAAUGUGAUAACACUGCAGAACAACAACUCCAGAAUCUCAAUGGCAUAUAACAACAAGCAUUAAUUUUGUCACCCACAGAUCUGUAGAUUGAUUGGAGUGGUUCUGCUUUGGGCUAAGAGUUGGGUUUAAGUGCAUAUUCAAAUCUGUUCCACAUGUUCUACAUUAUAGGUAACAACUGCAAAGGGCCAUCUUUCCCCAUGGAAGAUGGCAGAUGGCUCUUGGCAGAGCGCAAGAGGGAAAAACAAACUUGUGAGACAUCGUUAAAAGCCUCUGCUCUGAAAUGCCACACUAUUAAUUCUGUUGACACUCCAUUGGCCAAAACAAGUCACUCGGCUGAGCACAACAUCAGUGGGACGGGGGAGGUGAACUUCAGAGAAUAUGGGCUUUGAUUCCUGUCCUGAACGCAGCUGUAGAAAGAUUUUUCAGUGUAAUGAACAAUAUGUAAGCUGAUAAAUGAAGCCAAAUAGUGGGGGAAGUCAGUACAAAGUUGAUUCUGUAAUCUCUUCAGUGAUCUCUCUCAGGAGUUGGCAAAUCGUGCUAUGUGGGCCAAGUGUGGCCCACCAUUUAUUUAUUUAUUUUUUUCCACCAUUUAUUUUUGUAAAUAAAGUUUGUUGAAACACAGCCACGGAUGUUCCCUUAUACAUUGUCUAUGACUGCUUUUGUGGUACAACAGCAGGGUUGGGGCACCUGGGUGGCUCAUUCGGUUUAGGUGUCUGAUUCUUGGCUUUGGUCAGGUUGUGAUCUUAUGGGUCAUGAGAUGGAGCCCCCUGUUGGGCUCUUUGCUCAGCGGGGAGUCUGG